GACGAACGCUGGCGGCGUGCUUAACACAUGCAAGUCGAGCGGUAAGGCCCUUUCGGGGGUACACGAGCGGCGAACGGGUGAGUAACACGUGGGUGACCUGCCCUCAGCUCUGGGAUAAGCCUGGGAAACCGGGUCUAAUACUGGAUAUGACUCCAUGACGCAUGUUGUGGGGUGAAAGCCUUGUGCGGCUGAGGAUGGGCCCGCGGCCUAUCAGCUUGUUGGUGGGGUGAUGGCCUACCAAGGCGACGAC
rnacentral:rRNA from 1 species